UGGUGUGCGAGAAGCGCGAUGGACCCACCCCGUCCCAUCCCGAACCGGGUCGUGAAACGUCGCAGCGCCGAAGGUACUGGCGGGAUGCCCGCUGGGAGACAAGGUCCGUGCACCCA
rnacentral:rRNA from 1 species